UUCUUCCCCCUAAAUAAAGUUGACAAAUUCGGCUGGGCUCAGAUGGUGCUGCCGAGGGGGUGUGGAGCGCUCCCACCCCUCGCUGCAGCUGCGGCACCGCGGGCCAGCAGCGUCGGCUCGGGGCCACCGGCCGGGCUCGGGGCUCCCUGCCCGGGCUGCCAGCCGCAGACAGCCCCGGAGCCGCAGGACGUGGCCGGAGCAGGAACCUGAGAGCUGUGGGCACAGAUGAGAUGAGAUCCAGCUUAAG